rnacentral:lncRNA from 1 species
UGCUUAAAAGAAAAGGCUUGAUUAAUUACUCCCAACUUAACUAUACUUGGAGUAAUUAAACGUAUACUUGAUCUUAUAUUAUAGAUCCAAAGAAAGUAUACUAUACUUGACUAUAAUAUUUAUAACUUGAAUAUUAUUGUCAUCUCCGAACUAGUACAGUAACAUACUAGUUCAAAACAUAUCUUUUAUAACUUGUUUGUUGUUCGUAGAUAUUGUGUUCUAACUUUUGCAGUGAGGUGAAGUGAAGUGAGGUGAUUCUUGUUCUAAGACCCAAGUCCAUCGCGAAUCUAUUAGAGGUUGCUCCAUCGCGAACCAGGAUAAAAUCGACCGUGUGAUAUUUGCUUUCUACUUCCGCACAUAUAAUUGCUUAACAACACGGUAAAAAUAUUUAAAACUCGGAAAAUAUUUUUAAAAGGCAAUUAUAAUUUUUAAAUUGGACAUUAAGCUAUUCAACCCCCCUUCUAGCUUAAUUUACGCCUUAUUCAGGACCUAACAAGUAUAAAUUUAAAAUUUAAUAUAUAUGCAGUGUUUGGCAAUGCCCGCUUCAGGAUUUAUAAGUUUAACCCUUAUCUGUACCGUUUGUAUAAAAAGUGAGAAAGUACUUAAAAAAAAGUUAGGAUUACUCGAUUUUGUUUCAGAACUUCUACUUAUUUUCCAAACAAACUUGUUACACAAUACAUUUUUCGGUUUAAAGUUAAAAGCGAGGGGCGUGUAGGUGACGCCUCUCACAUUGCUCCAUUCUAUUUUUCUAAUUUUUGUUUGAAAACUAUCAAAAAUUGGAACUACCUUUUUUAGUUUCGGAUAUAUUAGAAGCAAGUUUCAGAAUCUGAUUUUGUUUGUAGGGUUUUGGAUCAUCUAAACACAACCUUCUCUCUCUCAAUACUACAACCCUACCUCUCUUUCUGGUGAUACUUCUCCUGCUCGAUUUCUAACUCGGUGGUGCCGUUCUUCUGCACCGAUAAGUGAAGGCUGUUUAUAUGAUAUUAAAAAAAUUAAAGGUUGUUGCAAGUAAAGGUAGUUAUAGACCGUCAUGUGGGAGUCGACAAAUCCAAACACGGGAGAAGAAUACAGUCUUGACAUGAUAUUGAUGAACGAUAUCAAUAAAUUAACUAUCAGUGAUGUAUGUUUGUUGGUUAUUCUUUUAUAAUAUUUAUUUUGUUCAUCCGACAAGUUUUGUAGUUGUUAGUUUUUAUAUGAUUUCCUUUAUACAUAGGAAAAUAUUAUUCACGCAUUAUCUGUUUACUCCGUUCAAGCAACUUUUAAGUGAAGUCUUUUCAUACAGUAUUAAAAAAUAAAGGUUGUUACAAGCAAGGGUAGUUAUAGACCGCUAUCUCACGGAUUUAAGUUAGAUGUUUUUGUGCACAAUCAAUCCAAACAAAUUGGAGGAAGGUGAUAAUGUAAAAACAUGAUCACUUUUCAAAAAAAAAUAACACAAAUAAAAUUAAGAUUCGUCGUGCUUUAAAUUGUUAAUUAUGUGUAGAAAUUUAUUUUCAUUUUUCAACAUGAAUUAUAGUCCAAUUUUGCAAUUUUAUAUAUUAGUGUUGGUAUACAUCAAGAUUUUUAUAAUAUAAAAUUUAUUUUAUCCUACAAAUAUUAAUUUUUAAUCAUUAAUAUACAUUUUAUAAACAACCACAAAAUUAUUGCAUUCAACUAAUAUUAAUAUUGAAUCAUUAAUAUAAUUUUUUAGGCCGCCGCAACGCGCAGCUUUUCAACUAGUGACUUAAAAUCCUGGUUUUAAACGAGAUGAACAUGCUCUUAGUCCAGAAUCAUUUCUUUAUACUUAAAAACAAAAAGAAAAUUCCCAACUCCUUGAUAGAACUCAGAAAAAAAUAAAAAAUAUAAAUGGAGACUUUAAUAUGUCAGAAAGAGAUUUUAUUUUGCUCAGAAUUCGAAUUGGUAAUGGUUGCGAUCCGGCAGAAGGCAAAAAUUGGGCCGCAGAUGGUUACAAUUAAAGGACCGAAAUGAUCCCACGUUGUAUUGUAAUUUGUAACUGACUAUUGGGCUUUAAUUCGCAAAAAGAAUCCGCUGCACUGAAACCUAAUUUUUAGAUUAAUUGACACUCUGACAUCAUAUAUUAUGUUAAUAAACAUAGAUAGAUUGUUGGGUUAUGAUUAUAGUUUUUUCCUCGGACAUUAUUAGAUUAUUAAAAUUAAACAAUAUUAUUCUGUAUUUAAAAUAAAAGAUAAUUAAAAUUAUAAUCAUCAAAAUGAAAAAAUGAAAUAGAUAAUACUGUACUUCAAAGUGUGAAUUACUUAGGUUAGUUAAAAAAAUGAUGUUCAAAAGUAUGAGGUGUUUGAAAUUCUUUUAUGAUAUGUCUAGGAGCUUAGAUUUCAUUUGAAAUCAUGUUUACAUUCAGAUAUUAAUAUAAGAUUUUUUCUAGUGUGUGCCGUGGGUGUAUAUUGAAUUUCAAAUCAACUAUAUGAGACAGGGUAAACUUUGGCAUCAAUAUUAUAUUUUAAUACUGCUCAUCGUGCAUUUUCUAGGAGAAGAAAAUGAUGGCACAAGCAUUCUCAUUCUAUGCAUGUAAAUAUUUACACAAGAUAAUAGAAAUUUAUUCCGG